AUCAAUUGAUAGGUCGUUGAGCAGAAGUGGUAAGAAAAGUGACAUUGAGAGCUCUCACUUCAUGCCACUACCAGCUGAAGGAAUGGAAGUUAUUGCUUCAGCAACCAAGAUUACGACCUGCGAGUCAAAAUAGCAGCCAUUGACCACAACGCUCAUAGUGCCAGAGAGCGCGCUCGGGACUAGUCAGGGAAGUUAAUCUUUCACACUCAUUGGUCUAAGGCGGCCAAGCAGUGGACGCUGCGACCUGUAAAGGUUCUGAAGGAGUACACUUACAUACCUCUCCUAUUGAGAAUGGUACUUAAAAAAUGCCAAGAACACACCGCACAAGGAGACAGUAUCACAGAAGCUGCAUUCCCGAUGGCAACAGGUCCUACAACUACAAUGAAGAACAUUGCAUCAGCACCGAAGCCGACACAGGAGGAGCUCUACACGUCAUGGUUCACGCGCUAUGGAAAACGGAAAGAAGAUAUCGCUGCAGAAGUGGAGUACAGUGUAACGAGUCAACAACCAAGCUUUCCAGCCAGAGCAGACACUGACCAUGACACAGAGGAUUCCACUGAUGACAGUGAUUAACAUGGAAAAGUGUGCGUCCAUAAUACCCCCGUCACACCGGGGUGGCGUCCUUACUGCGCUGCUACGGCGACAGAAAAUGGGCCCAGAGCGCGCCAA
rnacentral:lncRNA from 1 species